CUUCGGGGUUGAGUAAAGUGGCGCACGGGUGAGUAAUGUAUAGGUAAUCUACCAUUAAGCUUGGGAUAACUUUCCGAAAGGAGAGCUAAUACCGAAUAAUGCUAUUUUUUCUACGGUUUAAAUAGCCAAAGAUGUCCUCUAUAUGAAUGAUGUCGCUUAAUGAUGAGCCUGUAUCCCAUUAGCUUGUUGGUAAGGUAAUGGCUUACCAAGGCUGAGAUGGGUAGCUGAUCUGAGAGGAUGAUCAGCCACACUGGAACUGAGACACGGUCCAGACUCCUACGGGAGGCAGCAGUAGGGAAUUUUGCGCAAUGGGGGAAACCCUGACGCAGCGACGCCGCGUGGAUGAUGAAGGCUUUCGGGUUGUAAAAUCCUGUCAGGUAGGAAGAAGGGUUAUUGGUAAAUAGCUAAUAACUUUGACGGUACUACCAGAGGAAGCACCGGCUAACUCCGUGCCAGCAGCCGCGGUAAUACGGAGGGUGCAAGCGUUGUUCGGAAUUACUGGGCGUAAAGGGCGAGUAGGCGGCUUGUUAAGUCAGAUGUGAAAUCCUAUGGCUCAACCAUAGAACUGCAUUUGAAACUGGCAGGCUUGAGUACGGUAGAGGGUGGUAGAAUUCCUAGUGUAGAGGUGAAAUUCGUAGAGAUUAGGAGGAAUACCAGUGGCGAAGGCGGCCACCUGGGCCGAUACUGACGCUGAUACGCGAAAGCGUGGGGAUCAAACAGGAUUAGAUACCCUGGUAGUCCACGCCGUAGACGAUGGGUACUAGGUGCUGGAGGUAUUAACCCCUUCGGUGCCGUAGUUAACGCAGUAAGUACCCCGCCUGGGGAGUACGGUCGCAAGAUUAAAACUCAAAGAAAUUGACGGGGACCCGCACAAGCGGUGGAGCAUGUGGUUUAAUUCGAGGCAACGCGAAGAACCUUACCUGGUCUUGACAUCCCCUGACAUCCCUAGAGAUAGGGUUUCCUCUUCGGAGGCAGGGAGACAGGUGCUGCAUGGCUGUCGUCAGCUCGUGUCGUGAGAUGUUGGGUUAAGUCCCGCAACGAGCGCAACCCUCGCCUUUAGUUGCCAGCAUUAAGUUGGGCACUCUAAAGGGACUGUCGGUGUUAAGCCGGAGGAAGGUGGGGAUGACGUCAAGUCCUCAUGGCCUUUAUGACCAGGGCUACACACGUGCUACAAUGGUCGGUACAAAGAGUUGCGAACUCGUGAGAGUAAGCUAAUCUCAAAAAACCGGUCGUAGUUCGGAUUGAAGUCUGCAAUUCGACUUCAUGAAGCUGGAAUCGCUAGUAAUCGCGGAUCAGCAUGCCGCGGUGAAUACGUUCCCGGGUCUUGUACACACCGCCCGUCACACCACGAAAGCUGAUUGAACCAGACGUUAUUGAGCUAACCC
rnacentral:rRNA from 1 species